rnacentral:pre_miRNA from 1 species
UAUGUACUCCCUCUGUCCCAAAUUUCUUGUCUUAAAUUUGUCUAGAUACGGAUGUAUCUAAUACUAAAAUGUGACUUGAUACAUCCGUAUCUAGACAAAUCUAAGACAAGAAUUUUGGGACGGAGGGAGUACAAC